GAUGAACGCUGGCGGCGUGCCUAAUACAUGCAAGUCGAGCGAACAGACGAGGAGCUUGCUCCUCUGACGUUAGCGGCGGACGGGUGAGUAACACGUGGAUAACCUACCUAUAAGACUGGGAUAACUUCGGAAAACCGGAGCUAAUACCGGAUAACAUGUUGAACCGCAUGGUUCAACAGUGAAAGACGGUCUUGCUGUCUCUUAUAGAUGGAUCCGCGCCGCAUUAGCUAGUUGGUAAGGUAACGGCUUACCAAGGCAACGAUGCGUAGCCGACCUGAGAGGGUGAUCGGCCACACUGGAACGGAGACACGGUCCAGACUCCUACGGGAGGCAGCAGUAGGGAAUCUUCCGCAAAGGGCGAAAGCCUGACGGAGCAACGCCGCGUGAGUGAAGAAGGUCUUCGGAUCGUAAAACUCUGUUAUUAGGGAAGAACAAAUGUGUAAGUAACUAUGCACGUCUUGACGGUACCUAAUCAGAAAGCCACGGCUAACUACGCG
rnacentral:rRNA from 1 species